CGCAUGCAUGGAGUCUCAUUGCAUAAUAUGUGUAUGGCGUAUAAUAUGAAUGGAUGUAUUCCAAUAUUAUACGUGUGUUUGUAUUGAUAUUGAGUAUGAAUAUGAGUUGUAUUGGUAUUGAAUAUGAUGUUUGAAUUGAUACCGCCGUUAUUGAGUGUGUAGUCUGGUUAGAGUGAUUUGAUGCGUUAGUUACUUAACAUUACAUAAUGUUGUAUAAUGCUUAUUAUAUUGAUUGAGGAACUCACCCUUACACCUAUUUUUCAGGUAAC
rnacentral:lncRNA from 1 species